rnacentral:rRNA from 1 species
AAAAGCUCGUAGUUGGAUCUCAGCUCCGGCCGGACGGUCCGCCUACCGGUGGUUACUGUUCGCUGCCGAGCGUUCAGGGGGCUUCCGUCGAUGAUCUUCACCGGUUGUCGCUGGAGACCCUCACGUUUACUUUGAAAAAAUUAGAGUGCUCAAAGCAGGCGCGACGCCUGAAUAAUUGUGCAUGGAAUAAUGGAAUAGGACCUCGGUUCUAUUUUGUUGGUUUUCGGAACACGAGGUAAUGAUUAAGAGGGACAGACGGGGGCAUUCGUAUUGCGACGCUAGAGGUGAAAUUCUUGGACCGUCGCAAGACGAACUACUGCGAAAGCAUUUGCCAAGAAUGUUUCCAUUAAUCAAGAACGAAAGUUAGAGGUUCGAAGGCGAUCAGAUACCGCCCUAGUUCUAACCAUAAACGAUGCCAGCCAGCGAUCCGGCUGUGUUCCUCAAAUGACACGCCGGGCAGCUUCCGGGAAACCAAAGCUUUUGGGUUCCGGGGGAAGUAUGGUUGCAAAGCUGAAACUUAAAGGAAUUGACGGAAGGGCACCACCAGAAAUGGAGCCUGCGGCUUAAUUUGACUCAACACGGGAAAACUUACCCGGCCCGGACACAGGAAGGAUUGACAGAUUAAGAGCUCUUUCUUGAUUCUGUGGGUGGUGGUGCAUGGCCGUUCUUAGUUGGUGGGGCGACUUGUCUGGUUAAUUCCGAUAACGAACGAGACUCUAGCCUACUAAAUAGACGUUCCCAUCCUCUUGUAGUGGGACGUUCUUCUUAGAGGGACAAGCGGCGUUUAGCCGCACGAGACAGAGCAAUAACAGGUCUGGGAUGCCCUUAGAUGUCCGGGGCCGCACGCGCGCUACAUUGAAGGAAUCAGCGUGUGCUUUCCCUGUCCGAAAGGACUGGGUAACCCGUUGAACCUCCUUCGUGCUGGGGAUUGGAAAGUGUAAUUGAUUCCAUGAACGAGGAAUUCCCAGUAAGCACGAGUCAUCAGCUCGUGUUGAUUACGUCCCUGCCCUUUGUCCACACCGCCCGUCGCUACUACCGAUUGAAUGAUUUAGUGAGGUCUUCGGACUGGCGCUCGGAUUGGCCUUCGUGGUCGAGCCGGUGUGCCGGAAAGAUGACCAAACUUGAUCAUUUAGAGGAAGUAAAAGUCGUAACAAGGUUUU